AGAUAAUGAAGUAAAACUUACAUUUAGUUUCGACCUAAAAUUAGGGAUCUAAUUAUCCCCUUAUCUA
rnacentral:tRNA from 1 species